rnacentral:rRNA from 1 species
UGGGGAAUAUUGCACAAUGGGGGAAACCCUGAUGCAGCGACGCCGCGUGAACGAAGAAAGUAUUCGUAUCGUAAAGUUCUGUCCUAUGGGAAGAUAAUGACAGUACCAUAGAAGAAAGCUCCGGCUAAAUACGUGCCAGCAGCCGCGGUAAUACGUAUGGAGCGAGCGUUGUCCGGAAUUAUUGGGCGUAAAGGGUACGCAGGCGGUUUAAUAAGUCGAAUGUUAAAGAUCGGGGCUCAACCCCGCAAAGCAUUGGAAACUGAUAAACUUGAGUAGUGGAGAGGAAAGUGGAAUUCCUAGUGUAGUGGUGAAAUACGUAGAUAUUAGGAGGAAUACCAGUAGCGAAGGCGACUUUCUGGACACAAACUGACGCUGAGGUACGAAAGCGUGGGGAGCAAACAGG